rnacentral:lncRNA from 1 species
AAAACAUGAAAACAUCUAACUUUGUUGAGAGAGGAGAGUUUUUGCACCACUUUGUGUUUCGUUGAGAGGAAGAAUGUCCUGCGAAUUCAUUUGUUGAAAGAGGAAGAACACCGUUGCAAAUUUGUUUGGUUAGAGAGGAAGAACAAUGUCGUCGGGUUGAGAAAGGAAAAAGGCUUUGCGAAUUUGUUUAUUAAGAAAGGAAAAGUGUCGCUGUAAAUUUGUUAUUUGAGAGGAGAAGAGCAUCGCUGCUGUAACUUGGUGGGAGAGAGGUGAUGAGUUGAUGAGAGAGGAAAGAGUUAUGAAUCUGAAAUAGAAGCUCUCUUUUAGGAAUCGUAACACUUAGUUUAUAUUGAACAAAUUUCCCUUAUUUGUUAACUAAAUUACAUAAAAACUAGUAUUUAAUAAAGUAUAUACGAUGUAGAGUAAAAAUGAGUGUCAAG